UGUAUGGCUAACCCUAUAUUAUCAUUAAAUUUGAUUUUACUUACGCGUCUUUAGUGUUGCGGUUGCAUCUAAUAUAAAACGAAGUUCGCGUAAAAAUCAAGAAAACAUUCGCUUACCAGGGAAUCGCAAAUAAGCAUGUUAUCGAAGAUUUUUUUCUUCCCUUCAAGAAAAUAAGGCCGUGCGUGUACUUAAACUUGCGUUUGAACAUUGCCGCUACCUCUCAGAAGCUAUGAGGACUAAGUGACACCUUUGAACAUGCAGGUCAUGCUUGGAUCAGAACGCCGGCUCCUGCACACAGCUGCGAGCGGCUGAGUUUACUUCGAGAAGUUGGUCACUGAAUUUUCGAAAUCAUGGCCUAAGCGAAAGCUUCCACGCAUCAUGGCUGCAAUGUGUUUCCCGGAAAGCGAAGUGCGAGUCCGGAAUUCCUCGUUUUGCGGAGACGAUCAACGCUACACGGUGGCAUCGAGAGUCGGCGAGGAAAAGGCAGACUACCUUCCUCUUCAAACCGACCUACACUUUCGUAUACAUGAAUGGGCCCACUACCGCUACGGUGUAUUCGACGAGUACGGUACACGGGGAGAUGAUUCAAUUUCCGGAGACCUACUCUUGGAGGGGCAUGGUGAAACUGAACCCUUGUUCAAAACCCUGGUUUUCACCGCUUUAUGAAAAGACAAUACAGUACGCGAUAUGGAUGUCGAGUGUGGCUUUCAGGAAGAGGGCAUCGUGCGCCCUACCUUGGCUUUAAAAACACAGCAGACAGCUGUGUCAUGUUCAUGCCGUAUUCGAUAAACGCAAGAAUCCGUCGCUUUACUGCCUCUUUUGUGAAGUAUUAUACAGACAGAAAAUUUCAAAUAAAGAAACAAAGCCGUCUU